GACAGAGGUGCCAAGCGUUAGGCGGAAUCACUGGGCUUAAAGCGUGUGUAGGCGGAUGCCUAAGUACCUUGUGAAAUCCCACGGCUCAACCGUGGAACUGCUGGGUAUACUGGGUGUCUUGGGUCAGCUAGGGGUUGCCGGAACAAAUGGUGGAGCGGUGAAAUGCGUAGAUAUCAUUUGGAACGCCAAGGGCGAAAGCAAGCGACUGGGUUGUGCCGACGCUGAGACACGAAAGCCAGGGGAGCGAACGGG
rnacentral:rRNA from 1 species